AUUAGUGGGGGACAACGUUCCGAAAGGAGCGCUAAUACCGCAUACGUCCUACGGGAGAAAGCAGGGUGACCUUUGGGCCUUGCGCUAAUAGAUGAGCCUAAGUCGGAUUAGCUAGUUGGUAGGGUAAAGGCCUACCAAGGCGACGAUCUGUAGCGGGUCUGAGAGGAUGAUCCGCCACACUGGGACUGAGACACGGCCCAGACUCCUACGGGAGGCAGCAGUGGGGAAUAUUGGACAAUGGGGGGAACCCUGAUCCAGCCAUGCCGCGUGUGUGAAGAAGGCCUUUUGGUUGUAAAGCACUUUAAGCGAGGAGGAGGCUACCUAGAUUAAUACUUUAGGAUAGUGGACGUUACUCGCAGAAUAAGCACCGGCUAACUCUGUGCCAGCAGCCGCGGUAAUACAGAGGGUGCGAGCGUUAAUCGGAUUUACUGGGCGUAAAGCGUGCGUAGGCGGCCAAUUAAGUCAAAUGUGAAAUCCCCGAGCUUAACUUGGGAAUUGCAUUCGAUACUGGUUGGCUAAAGUAUGGGAGAGGAUGGUAGAAUUCCAGGUGUAGCGGUGAAAUGCGUAGAGAUCUGGAGGAAUACCGAUGGCGAAGGCAGCCAUCUGGCCUAAUACUGACGCUGAGGUACGAAAGCAUGGGGAGCAAACAGGAUUAGAUACCUGGUAGUCCAUGCCGUAAA
rnacentral:rRNA from 1 species